AUUGAACGCUGGCGGUAUGCUUAACACAUGCAAGUCGAACGGUAGCAGCUCUUCGGAGGCUGACGAGUGGCGGACGGGUGAGUAACGCGUAGGAAUCUGCCUGUUAGUGGGGGACAACUUAGGGAAACUUAAGCUAAUACCGCAUACGCCCUACGGGGGAAAGGAGGGGAUCUUCGGACCUUUCGCUAACAGAUGAGCCUGCGUAGGAUUAGCUAGUUGGUAGGGUAAAAGCCUACCAAGGCGACGAUCCUUAGCUGUUCUGAGAGGAAGAUCAGCCACACUGGGACUGAGACACGGCCCAGACUCCUACGGGAGGCAGCAGUGGGGAAUAUUGGACAAUGGGCGAAAGCCUGAUCCAGCAAUACCGCGUGUGUGAAGAAGGCCUUAGGGUUGUAAAGCACUUUCAAUUGGAAGGAAAAACCAGGGUCAAUACCCCUGGUCUUGACAUUACCUUUAGAAGAAGCACCGGCUAACUCCGUG
rnacentral:rRNA from 1 species